GGCGAACGCUGGCGGCAUGCCUAAUACAUGCAAGUUGAACGAUGAUAUUCUCUGCUUGCAGAGAAUUGAAGAGUAGCGAACGGGUGAGUAACACGUGGGGAACCUGCCCAUGAGAGGGGGAUAACAUUCGGAAACGGAUGCUAAUACCGCAUAAUGCUUUGGACCGCCUGGUCCAGAGACGAAAGACGGCUUUUGCUGUCACUCAUGGAUGGCCCCGCGCCGUAUUAGCUAGUUGGUGAGGUAAUGGCUCACCAAAGCUGUGAUACGUAGCCGACCUGAGAGGGUGAUCGGCCACACUGGGACUGAGACACGGCCCAGACUCCUACGGGAGGCAGCAGUAGGGAAUCUUCCACAAUGGGCGAAAGCCUGAUGGAGCAAUGCCGCGUGAAUGAAGAAGGUCUUCGGAUCGUAAAGUUCUGUUAUUAGAGAAGAACAAGUCAAGGAGUAACUGUCUUGACUUUGACGGUACCUAACCAGAAAGUCACGGCUAACUACGUG
rnacentral:rRNA from 1 species